GGUGGGAGCGGGCUUGCCCGCGAUAGCAUAGUGUCAGUCGCUAAAUAGUUGGCUGAUACACCGCUAUCGCGGGCAAGCCUGCUCCCACA
rnacentral:misc_RNA from 1 species